CCCUGGGGCAGGGCUGUCGUACCCCUGCACUCCUCAGGGAAGGAGGUAGAGUAGUCAGCUGGAGGAGUGAAGGUCUGAUGACAACGUGACGUUCCAGUUUCCACUGAGAUGACACCAGCUGCACUCAAAAUCAGACUUCCCAGAAGAUGAAGUACUUUAGCUUUACUGGUUCCCAAGGGAGUCUGCAGGUGUGGAUUAAGGGCCACCCACCUUUCUCUGUUCAUCUCAGUAAAUCAUGCACCCUGAAGUGGUUGCAUGUUACUAUGGCUGUCAGUUGCUGGAAAAAAAACUUAGCAGUGCAUUUAAAAAGAGCUAUUAAAAGCUGGGGGGGAAAAAAAAAAAAAAAAAAAAAAAGAAGUUUCAUUAUAAAAAAAUCAAAC
ensembl:lncRNA